rnacentral:rRNA from 1 species
GACGAACGCUGGCGGCGUGCUUAACACAUGCCAGUCGAACGGAAAGGCCCCUUUGGGGGUACUCGAGUGGCGCACGGGUGAGUAACACGUGAGUAACCUGCCCUUGACUUCGGGAUAACUUCAGGAAACUGGGGCUAAUACCGGAUAGGAAUCCUUGCUGCAUGGUGGGGGUUGGAAAGCUUCGGCGGUUUUGGAUGGACUCACGGCUUAUCAGCUUGUUGGUGGGGUAGUGGCUUACCAAGGCUUUGACGGGUAGCCGGCCUGAGAGGGCGACCGGCCACAUUGGGACUGAGAUACGGCCCAGACUCCUACGGGAGGCAGCAGUGGGGAAUAUUGCACAAUGGGCGGAAGCCUGAUGCAGCAACGCCGCGUGCGGGAUGACGGCCUUCGGGUUGUAAACCGCUUUCAGCAGGGGCGAAGCUUGUGGUGACGGUACCUGCAGAAGAAGCACCGGCUAACUACGUG